GCCGUGAUGGCGGAAUUGGUAGACGCGCUGGCUUCAGGUGCCAGUGGGAGUAAUCCUGUGGAGGUUCGAGUCCUCUUCGCGGCACCA
rnacentral:tRNA from 1 species